rnacentral:antisense_RNA from 1 species
AAUAACCAAAUAUAAUACUUGGGUUAAGGGUCAAGUUGGUAAUUUUUCUUACAUCUCCCCCUCCCGGAGCCCAGGUAUCAUAGACACCACCAAAAUAAAGAGCCUUGAAUACUAGAAGAAAAGCUCCUAUACCCAGAAAAACACAAAGAUUUUUUCUCUUUA